UGCGUAGGCGGGCUAAUAAGUCAGUGGUGAAAUCUUCCGGCUCAACCGGGAACCUGCCAUUGAUACUGUUAGUCUUGAGUUCGGCUGAGGUAGGCGGAAUGUGUAAUGUAGCGGUGAAAUGCUUAGAUAUUACACAGAACACCAAUUGCGUAGGCAGCUUACUAGACCGACACUGACGCUGAGGCACGAAAGCGUGGGGAGCGAACAGGAUUAGAUACCCUGGUAGUC
rnacentral:rRNA from 1 species